rnacentral:rRNA from 1 species
ACACAUGCAAGUCGAACGAGAGAGAAGGAGCUUGCUUCUUCGAUCGAGUGGCGAACGGGUGAGUAACGCGUGAGGAACCUGCCUCAAAGAGGGGGACGACAGUUGGAAACGACUGCUAAUACCGCAUAAGCCCACGGGUCGGCAUCGAUCUGAGGGAAAAGGAGCAAUCCGCUUCGAGAUGGCCUCGCGUCCGAUUAGCUAGUUGGUGAGGUAACGGCCCACCAAGGCGACGAUCGGUAGCCGGACUGAGAGGUUGAACGGCCACAUUGGGACUGAGACACGGCCCAGACUCCUACGGGAGGCAGCAGUGGGGAAUAUUGCACAAUGGGGGAAACCCUGAUGCAGCGACGCCGCGUGGAGGAAGAAGGUCUUCGGAUUGUAAACUCCUGUUGUUGAGGAAGAUAAUGACGGUACUCAACAAGGAAGUGACGGCUAACUACGUGCCAGCAGCCGCGGUAAAACGUAGGUCACAAGCGUUGUCCGGAAUUACUGGGUGUAAAGGGAGCGCAGGCGGGAAGACAAGUUGGAAGUGAAAUCUAUGGGCUCAACCCAUAAACUGCUUUCAAAACUGUUUUUCUUGAGUAGUGCAGAGGUAGGCGGAAUUCCCGGUGUAGCGGUGGAAUGCGUAGAUAUCGGGAGGAACACCAGUGGCGAAGGCGGCCUACUGGGCACCAACUGACGCUGAGGCUCGAAAGUGUGGGUAGCAAACAGGAUUAGAUACCCUGGUAGUCCACACCGUAAACGAUGAUUACUAGGUGUUGGAGGAUUGACCCCUUCAGUGCCGCAGUUAACACAAUAAGUAAUCCACCUGGGGAGUACGACCGCAAGGUUGAAACUCAAAGGAAUUGACGGGGGCCCGCACAAGCAGUGGAGUAUGUGGUUUAAUUCGACGCA